UACGGAGGGUGCGAGCGUUAUCCGGAAUCAUUGGGUUUAAAGGGUGCGUAGGCGGUUUAAUAAGUUUUUGGUAAAAUGGUAUAGCUUAACUAUAGGGGAGCCAAAGAUACUGUUAGGCUAGAGAUAUGAAGAGGUAUGCGGAAUUUAUAGAGUAGCGGUGAAAUGCAUAGAUACUAUAAGGAACACCGAUAGCGAAGGCAGCAUACUGGUCAUAAACUGACGCUGAAGCACGAGAGCGUGGGGAUCAAACAGG
rnacentral:rRNA from 1 species